UGAUCCUGGCUCAGAGCGAACGCUAGCGGGUGGCUUAACACAUGCAAGUCGAGCGGGCGUCUUCGGGCGUCAGCGGCGAACGGGUGCGUAACGCGUAGGAACUCUACCUUGGGGUGGGGGAUAACCCGGCGAAAGCCGGGCUAAUACCGCAUAUGGCCUACGGGUCAAAGCAGCAAUGCGCCUUUAGAUGAGCCUGCGUCCCAUUAUUUAAUCCUAGUUGGCGGGGUAAUGGCCCACCAAGGGUACGAUGGGUAGCUGGUCUGAGAGGACGAUCAGCCACACUGGGACUGAGACACGGCCCAGACUCCUACGGGAGGCAGCAGUGGGGAAUAUUGCGCAAUGGGCGAAAGCCUGACGCAGCCAACCCGCGUGUGUGAUGAAGCUCGGUGUAAGCACUGUCGUGAGGGAAGGAA
rnacentral:rRNA from 1 species